UACCAGCACCCCGAGUGGUCGGGACGAUUAUUGGGCCUAAAGCAUCCGUAGCCGGUCCUACAAGUCUUCCGUUAAAUCCACCUGCUUAACAGAUGGGCUGCGGAAGAUACUAUAGAGCUAGGAGGCGGGAGAGGCAAGCGGUACUCGAUGGGUAGGGGUAAAAUCCGUUGAUCCAUUGAAGACCACCAGUGGCGAAGGCGGCUUGCCAGAACGCGCUCGACGGUGAGGGAUGAAAGCUGGGGGAGCAAACGGG
rnacentral:rRNA from 1 species